rnacentral:rRNA from 1 species
AUUGAGCGCUGGCGGCAGGCCUAACACAUGCAAGUCGAGCGGAUGAAGAGAGCUUGCUCUCUGAUUCAGCGGCGGACGGGUGAGUAAUGCCUAGGAAUCUGCCUGGUAGUGGGGGACAACGUUUCGAAAGGAACGCUAAUACCGCAUACGUCCUACGGGAGAAAGCAGGGGACCUUCGGGCCUUGCGCUAUCAGAUGAGCCUAGGUCGGAUUAGCUAGUAGGUGGGGUAAUGGCCCACCUAGGCGACGAUCCGCAACUGGUCUGAGAGGAUGAUCAGUCACACUGGAACUGAGACACGGUCCAGACUCCUACGGGAGGCAGCAGUGGGGAAUAUUGGACAAUGGGCGAAAGCCUGAUCCAGCCGUGCCGCGUGUGUGAAGAAGGUCUUCGGAUUGUAAAGCACUUUAAGUUGGGAGGAAGGGCAGUAAGUUAAUACCUUGCUGUUUUGACGUUACCAACAGAAUAAGCACCGGCUAACUUCGUGCCAGCAGCAGCCGCAGUAA